rfam:Gorilla gorilla gorilla genomic chromosome, chr7, whole genome shotgun sequence
GGGGGUAUAGCUCAGCGGCAGAGCAUUUGACUGCAGAUCAAGAGGUCCCCGGUUCAAAUCCGGGUGCCCCCU